rnacentral:rRNA from 1 species
GUGAGGAAUUUUCCGCAAUGGGCGAAAGCCUGACGGAGCAAUGCCGCGUGAAGGAUGAAGGCCUAUGGGUUGUAAACUUCUUUUCUCAGAAAAGAAUUAUGACGGUAUCUGAGGAAUAAGCAUCGGCUAACUCUGUGCCAGCAGCCGCGGUAAGACAGAGGAUGCAAGCGUUAUCCGGAAUGAUUGGGCGUAAAGCGUCUGUAGGUUGUUUAAAAAGUAUUCUGUCAAAGAUUAGGGCUUAACCCUAGAUAGGCAGAAUAAACUUUUAAGCUAGAGUUUGGUAGAGGCAGAGGGAAUUCCCGGUGGAGCGGUGAAAUGCGUAGAUAUUGGGAGGAACACCAAAGGCGAAGGCACUCUGCUGGGCCAAUACUAACACUGAGAGACGAAAGCGAGGGGAGCAAAUGGGAUUAGAAACCCCAGUAGUCC